AACUUUGACGAGGGUUAGAGACCGGAUGUUUUCCGGAACUCCCGGAAGUGUAAAACGAUUUUUUUUCGCGAGCCGAUCUUUCCCGAACUGGUCCGUUUCGUCUGUGUCACAGUUGGUGUCUCCCAAAAGUCGUAAAACAAUUCGGUUGUCAAAUUAGAUGUGCAGUGAACUCAAAACGUGUUUUGGGCCUAAAUACCAAAGAUUUUACUUUCGUCAGUGGCAGAUCCACUCCAUCAGGACCUGAGGCGCCAAUUCCCGGACGAAUAUUUUAAUAAAAAGUCAAACUGGCAGAUUUUGGAAAAACUUGCACGAAAACCGUAUCAAAUUGCGAACAACUUAGUCCAUUUUGAAGCCAGAAAUCAUCUUAUAAUGAAGGAAUUUUUCGUCAGGUCUUACUACAAAUGAAGUGUAAAGAUGUGUAACAGAAAGAAAAAUAAAACUUGAACGUUUCUUGAA